GAAGUGACUGAGUCGCAGGGUACAACGCAGCCGGGCACCGGAGACGCCGCACUGCUGCUGCCUAUCCAAGAAGGGUUCUGAAUCUGCAGCAAAGACAAAUGCAGAAGGUUAAGUGGUACUCGACGUUGAGAUUUAUCAAGAGCUGUGAGGCAUUCAUCUGGUCCCAUACUGAGUGGGAGCUGCUUGCCUAGUGUGGAGGAGGAAUGCCUGUCUCUAGACGUUCCUUCAACACCCAGAGUAACCUCCUCUGCUGAGCGGAGGGAGCACAGAGUGAAUUGAUAGGGCUGUAUUCUGCUCUGGGCCUGGGGAGGUGGGGGUCUGAGGGAGGGCUGUGGAGGGAGAUGAAAGCCCUCUCAGGGAGAUGCCCCAGAUGUGAGCAAAGCUGCAUUCCACAGCUGCAGGCGUGCUCCCCAAAGAGCCACCCCUGCCCUCCGACCCGGCCGCAUAUUCAUAAUAAAUCCAGGAGAUUCUCUGGCUCUCCUGUGAAGGCAUACCGUCCUCUGCCACAGCACAGACCGGGCCUCGACAUUGUGUUUCCUCAGGUCUCACAAUUGUCAAAGCUAUUACUGAAGAUAGUUCUCUACCUGAGCGUAGUUCUCAGGCCGAGUGAGAAGGGGCAGUUCAUAGGCCGUGGAA